rnacentral:rRNA from 1 species
CGUAACAAGGUUUCCGUAGGUGAACCUGCGGAAGGAUCAUUACAACGAAACGGCGCCCUCACCGGCGCCGGUUCUCAAACCACUGCGUAUGAAGCUCUCGAGGUUGCCUCCCGGCUGGCGUGCGGCUCCCGCGCGCCCGCCGGGGGGGCCAACAGCCCGAGACUCGUUUCCUUCGCGGGGUACCCCCCCCGCGGCAGGACGCUACCAAACAUUUUGUCAAGAUGUCAUCGUCUGAACCUAUUGAAAAAAUAGAAAAUACAACUUUUAACAAUGGAUCUCUUGGCUCCGGCAUCGAUGAAGAACGCAGCGAAAUGCGAUAACUAGUGUGAAUUGCAGAUUUCAGUGAAUCAUCGAGUCUUUGAACGCACAUUGCGCCUCUUGGUAUUCCUCGAGGCAUGCCUGUUCGAGCGUCGUUUCACCCCUCAAGCGCAAGCUUGGUGUUGGGGAUCGCCCCUGAAAUACGGCGGCGGCCCUUAAAUGCAUCGGCGGAGCUGGUACCAGCCCGGAGCGCAGCAGACAUGCAGCUUCCAGGCGACCUGGCCCCCGCC